rnacentral:RNase_P_RNA from 1 species
GAGAGCUGUUUGUCGGGAUCGUCCGUUCGAGGUUUAUCCCUCGUUCCGGUAAGGGUGGAAGGGUGGUGUAAGAGACCACCGCCUCUGCGGUAACGGGGAGGGCACAUGUAAACCCCAUCCGAAGCAAGACCAAACAGGGAACGAUAGACUUGCCCGGUCUGUUUCCAGGUAGGUCGCUUGAGACUGACGGCAACGUCAAUCCUAGAUAGAUGAUCAUUCGCACUGCUGUGGCAGUGCUGACAGAACCCGGCUUAUCGCUGCGGUUGCCGA